UACGGAGGGUGCAAGCAUUAAUCGGAUUUAUUGGGCGUAUAGGGCGCGUAGGCUGGUAGGAAAGUCAGAUGUGAAAUCCCGGGGCUCAACCUCGGAACAGCAUUUGAAACUUCCUAUCUAGAGGGUAGUCGGAGGAAACGGAAUUCCACAAGUAGCGGUGAAAUGCGUAGAUAUGUGGAAGAACACCGGUGGCGAAAGCGGUUUCCUAGAUUAUCCCUGACGCUGAGGCGCGAAAGUUAGGGGAUCAAACAGG
rnacentral:rRNA from 1 species